rnacentral:rRNA from 1 species
AGUGAACGCUGGCGGUAGGCCUAACACAUGCAAGUCGAACGGCAGCACAGGAGGGCUUGCUCUCUGGGUGGCGAGUGGCGGACGGGUGAGGAAUACAUCGGAAUCUACUUUUUCGUGGGGGAUAACGUAGGGAAACUUACGCUAAUACCGCAUCCGACCUACGGGUGAAAGCAGGGGAUCUUCGGACCUUGCGCGAUUGAAUGAGCCGAUGUCGGAUUAGCUAGUUGGCGGGGUAAAGGCCCACCAAGGCGACGAUCCGUCGCUGGUCUGAGAGGAUGAUAAGCCACACUGGAACUGAGACGAGGUCCAGACUCCUACGGGAGGCAGAAGUGGGGAAUAUUGGACAAUGGGCGUAAGCCUGAUCCAGCCAUACCGCGUGGGUGAAGAAGGCCUUCGGGUUGUAAAGCCCUUUUGUUGGGAAAGAAAUCCAGCUGGCUAAUACCCGGUUGGGAUGACGGUACCCAAAGAAUAAGCACCGGCUAACUUCGUGCCAGCAGCCGCCGUAACAC